CUAACUCAUUGAUUUUAGAUUACAUGGUUACAAAAGAGUUAGGUAAAAAGAUAAAUAAUAGUACUGUACUCCGUUAAUAUGAAAAAUCCAAUAUAUUCUUGCACAAAAAGUGAAUCAUCUUAUUGUCUUUUCUCCAAUGCCCCAUCCCUUUAAAUUUAAAUCUGCUCUGCUAUUCUAUUCUUCUUUUUAUCUCUCUGAUCCAAACACUUUGUUUUGUCAUAAAAACUUAGACAAGUGCAUGCCUACAUUAAUUGUCUCUCCCUAUUAAAGCCCAAUUCCUUACCCAUUUUGCUCUAUCCAACAAUUCCCAUUUAGUCAUUCAAAUUUUAUUACCAAUUCUAGCUAGCUACCUACAUAGUUCAAAAUUAUGUCAAAACAACUUGGACAAUUCCUUCAAGAACAACAAGAACCAUUUACCUUAGAACUUUAUCUUCUUGAAAGAGGUCAAUUUAGAAACAAACACCUUACUUCAGAUGGCGAUUUUCGGUGUUGUUCUAUUAAUUCUAGUACUAAUUUCUUGAAGAGAUCAGCUAGCUGUGGUGCAAAGAAGAGAAGACAAGUACUCAUUCUUAAUUGUUCAAAGAUUGUAAAGUCAGUGUUCAACAAGCUUGUUAUUACCAUUAACCAUAACCAAAAAAACAAGAACUUGGCAAAUGAUCAAGAACAGUACCACAACAAUUCUACAAAUGAUGAUCAGAAAUUUUCUUCAGCUAGUAGAACUACUCUCUUUCAUUCUUGUUCUGAUUCUAGUGAUGCAGAUGAAGUAGAAAAUUUAUCAUCAACGCAAGCGGCAGAUGACAACUUUCUACAUGAAAAACAGAUUGGUUGUUGAUAAGGUAACAGGUUUUUGAAGACAGAAGAAAGCUAAGAUUGGAUUUUCUUGAAGAAAGUAAGCAACUUAGCCCUGUGUCAGUUCUAGAUGAAACUGAAUCUUCUGAUGAUGAUCAUUCUCCACAUGCCAAAAGUAAACAAGGAUGUCCCAAGGCAAAGAAACAAGAGGAAUUUUCAAGGCCAUCAGUUUGUAAUUCAGGGGAAACAAGUCCUGAGUCUCAGUACAUUAAGAACAAGAAAGCAGUACAACAAUCAAGACAGCUCCUUUUCGACUGUGUUAGAGAAGUGGUGGAGAAUCAAAGAGAUAAACAUACUCAGAAAGAUGAAUUUCAGAGAAUAUUAGGAGCUGAGCAACUAUGGGAGCUUCUAUUACAGAAUAUUUGGUUAUGGAGCCAAGAAUCCAUAAAUGAAACUAAUAUCAACCACUUGAUGCAUUUUGAUAUGUUGAAUUCUUUUGAAUUGUCAAGUGGUGUUGAGGAGAAAAGGGAAAUUGGUAAAGUGGUUAGUGAUUUAAUUUUUGUUGAUAUUAGUAAUGAGAUUGUACUAGACAUGUUUAAUUGUUAUUCUACAAGGUGAAUUUAGAAGGGAAAAAAAUAGUUACAAUCA